AGGCAAACACCCCUACAGAGGUUGCCGGUUUCUCCCUUAAUCCUGACUUGCUAACAAUACGCAGUCCGAACUAGGGCUGAUUAUUGGCUGAUUAAAAAAAGUAUUUCGUGUUUAUCUUUCAGCCGUAGCUUUAUCAGUUUGAUGAGAAAUAGGAGAGAGGUCGUAGGUUUAGCAAAGUUAUAUACUAUAAUACGUUAUUAGUGUGAGAGAUU
rnacentral:lncRNA from 1 species